AUAAAUCCACUAUGUGUAUCCUUGUGUAUUCGGUUUUCGGUCAUGUAAGGAUUGUCGACCAACGUAACAUAAAGUGCAUGAAUAAAUCGAUAAUAAACAAACCUUGUUUGUUUGUUAUUUAUUUAUGAUAUUCAAAUAUCUGACGGAUUAACCUCGUGUUUCACCCGCACAGCAGGCCUCAUAGUUCGCUACGCAAAGAUCGUGAAUGCGGAAGUGACGUCAUCUGUUUUCGUUCACUUCAUUGGUUCUCCGUAAAACA